rnacentral:ncRNA from 1 species
UCUGGAUAAACUUGUAUUCUCCCAAGAGAGAGGAGCAAGUCACUUUACAGAAUUAAAUUAAGUAAAACAUUUAAGGAUUGCCAAAGGCUUACAUACAAGCGAAAUCUUGAAAUGUUAGGAUAGCCGUAUGUCCUUUAAUACUAUUUGUAUUAUAAAAAUAAUCUUGAAUUAACUUUAGUCAAGUUUUCGAGUUACGGUAGA